AGAGAAUUGAGCAGUGAGACUGCAGAGACAUGAUCUAUACAAAGACUGCUUCAUUAAGCUAAAGUUGUUUUAAUGCCUAGUAUUUCUUUAAAUUUGCCAUUCUGUUGGCACCCCCUUUUUAUAUAAUUCUAUUAUUCUGUGUAUUACAGAUGCUACAUAAUUAUUUUCUUUGAGCACACUUAGCAUAUUUCUACCUUCUUCAGUAAAGUACCGUCAUUGCCAAGUAAGUGCCAUGGAUUUAUAACAAAGAGUCUGAGCCACUGGGAAUGUUUUGGGAUCAGAGGCAUAGCUCUCUCUUUAUAAAAACAAACAAACACCAGGCUAAGUAGAUCUGUAUGGUAUGUACACAAACAUAGAUUCUCCAUGUAUCUGUAAACAGGAUAGCUACAGUAUAUUGACACAUCAAAUAAGAAUUUGCUACUAAAAGUUUUGCUGCCUAGCUUAUAAUGGAUAAGCACUGACUUUUCACCUGUGUUUUGAAGGAAUCUCUGUUGACAACACUCUCUUCGACUGUUUCAACUUGGCCCAAACAUGGGUAACUGACAAUCAGCCAAGAAUAAAUUUAGUCAAUACCUUAAAUUCAAGCCAAUUUAAAUUAAGAUCUGAAUGUGUCUGUCUGUAUAUUAAAGCAAACUCUAGCAGCAUGAAGUUGCCAUUAGAAGAUUAGGCAAAAACCACCAAACCUAAUUGAUGACACUUGGAUUUGUAGAACUCUGUGGAGAUAUUUUUACAUUGAAUUUAUAGCAUAAUUUUGGAUAACAUAUUAUUAAUUCAGUUUCUUUUAAUCUGUUGCUUUUUUUUUGCGCUCAAAAUGCCAUUUUAUUUCUAGAUAGAAAAGUGUUUUUCCUGCUACUCUAAAUGUGUUCGUCUUCUGAAAUGGAAAUCUUUGCAAAAACUGUU